UGAGGAAUAUUGGUCAAUGGGGGCAACCCUGAACCAGCCAAGUCGCGUGAAGGAUGAAGGUCUUAUGGAUUGUAAGCUUCUUUUAUACAGGAAUAAAUUGGGGGACGUGUCCCCUUUUGUAUGUACUGUAUGAAUAAGGAUCGGCUAACUCCGUGCCAGCAGCCGCGGUAAUACGGAGGAUCCGAGCGUUAUCCGGAUUUAUUGGGUUUAAAGGGUGCGCAGGCGGGAUGUUAAGUCGGCGGUGAAAUUUUGCAGCUCAACUGUAAAAGUGCCUUCGAUACUGGCCUCCUUGAGUGUGGAUGAAGUAGGCGGAAUUUGUGGUGUAGCGGUGAAAUGCUUAGAUAUCACGAGGAACUCCCAUUGCGCAGGCAGCUUACUAAGCCACAACUGACGCUCAUGCACGAAGGCGUGGGGA
rnacentral:rRNA from 1 species